CCCAUGACCAGCUCCGUGGAACACAUUUUAAUGAAUUUGUUUGCAAUUUGGAUAAAGAGAGUCAAUUUUCAUAAAUAUUAAGUAGGUAGCAUAGGUGGUAUGUGACUAUGGCAGCUAUCAUAUGGGUGAUAAUUAAAUGACUAAAAUUUAGUAAACACUUCUUUCAUUAAAGAAUUUCUGCUAAUUUACAUAUUCUCUUCCUUUAGCAAAGCUUUUGCUCUGGAAAAUUCAAUUUAAUAGAAGGUUAUUGAGAGUUCCUGAUGAAAGAGCCCCUCUACAGAGUGGUCUAAGGCUACCAAGAUCCAUAUCAUAGAAAACUUCCCAGAGGAGACCACCCUCUAAGCUGAGUCUAGAAGCAGGAGCAGGGUCUCACACUGGGGCAGAAGGUGGAGGUGAAUGUAUUGGAAAAGCUUGAAAAAAACCUGGAGGUGUGAAGGCAUAUGAAACAUCUAGGAAAUUUCUAGCAAAUGUGCAGUUGUGAUGACCAUAACUGAUAAAGAAAACUGCCAACUUAUUUUCUGUAGGGAAUUAUGACUGCAAAAAUGACUGGGGAAAUAACUAUUAAAAAAAUAAUAAUAAUAAAAGUCAAAAAAAAAAGAAAAAUGACACUUGAGAGUUCCCAUCAUGGCUCAGUGGUUAACAAACCUAACGAGUAUCCAUGAGGAUGCAGGUUUGAUCCCUGGCCUUGCUUAGUGGGUUAAGAAUCUGGCAUUGCUCUAAUAACCUCAACGCCAGAACCCACUGAGUGAAGCCAGAGAUCGAACCUUCAUCCUCAUAGAUACUAGUCAGCUGCAUUUCCACUGAGCCAUGAUGAUGGGAAAUCCCAAGAGAAACAAUCUUGUAUUUGAGUGGGGAAAUGUUUUAUGGAGAGCCUUUUGCUUUCCACAUUAGGCCUGAUAUCAGGUCUCUCUGAAAUGUAGGAGUGAGCAGUACGUUUACUGCCAUCGAAAGUAUCUAGAGAAACAGUAUAAACUCUAUAAUUUUUCCAGCUGAGAUGCUAUUACUGAUGAAACAGAAAAGCAGUGGCAGCCUUUAGUUAUACCAGUAAGCAUUUCAUUAAUCUUUUCUGGGUUGCAAUUAUUUAUUUCUAACUAACGUUUUACUAUAGCAUUAAAAAAAUACUCUUUUCAAAAUGAAAAGCAAUAGCCAAAUGCAUUGUCUUUGUCUGAAGCCGCAUUUUAGUUUGCUCUUUGAAAAAUAAAAGUCCUUUCAUCACCAUAACCUUUUAAGAUAUUUUAGUGAAACUUUUCAAAAUGAUUAGAAGAUUUUUCUCCCCACUAAUUUCAAAACAUUCGAAGAAUUAAAAAUACUGUAGGGAAGGCCUAUAAUUUCUGAAUAAACUUUGUUCUAUUUCAAGGCCAAAUAUAACUCAUUUGUUGAAAAAAAAAAUUGUGGUGGUGAUCAAUGUGAAAAGAGUGUGUCCCUCUGUCUCCGGAGUCAGUAGUUACAACAUGUGAUAUUCUUUACCUGUAGGUUGAAGAAAAAGUCCCAGUCGGUGGAUAUUACUGCUCCAGGGUUCAACCCUUUGGCUGGUGCAGGAAAGCAAAUGCCACAAGCCAGUAAGCCUCCUGCACCCAAGACACCCAUCAUUGAAGAAGAACAGAAUAACGCAGCAAAUUCCCAGAAGCAUCCUUCCCGGAGGAGUGAACUGAAGAGGUUCUACACCAUUGGUGAGUACCACACUUUAUGUAAGUGAAUAGAGGGGGUCUAUUUAAACAGCACCAUGAAUGUGUGGGCCUGUGGCUAAGUGCCCCUUUGUGUACAUAACAUGUACAGUCGUCCCUCAGUAUCCACGGAGAUGGGUUCCAGGACCCCUCAGAGAUACUAAAAUUCUAGGAUGCUCUCAAGUCCCUUAUAUAGAAUGGCAUAGUAUUCGCAUAUAACCCAGCACAUCCUCCCAUGUACGUGAAAUCAUCUCUAGGUUCCUUAUAAUACCAACUAUAUUGUAAGUGCUAUGUAAAUAGUUAUAGGUGCAUAGUAAAUGCAAGUUUUUGUCUUUUGGAACUUUCUGAAUUUCCUCUCCAAAUAUUUUCAGCCCUCGGUUGAAUGUGUGGAUGCAGAACCCAAGGAUACAGAGGGCCAACUGUUUAUCUUUAUCCUGGUUUAUGUGGACAUUUUCUCAUAUAGUCUGAACAUAAAGUUGGAAAAUACUGCAAACCUUCAGCAAAGUUAAGUAAGAAAAAAAAAAA
rnacentral:lncRNA from 1 species